rnacentral:rRNA from 1 species
GACGAACGCUGGCGGCGUGCUUAACACAUGCAAGUCGAGCGGAAAGGCCCUUUCGGGGGUACUCGAGCGGCGAACGGGUGAGUAACACGUGAGUAAUCUGCCCUUGGCUUUGGGAUAGCCACCGGAAACGGUGAUUAAUACCGGUUACGACAACUCCACGCAUGUGGUGGUUGUGGAAAGUUUUUUCGGCCAGGGAUGUGCUCGCGGCCUAUCAGCUUGUUGGUGGGGUAAUGGCCUACCAAGGCUUCGACGGGUAGCCGGCCUGAGAGGGUGACCGGCAACACUGGGACUGAGAGACGGCCCAGACUCCUACGGGAGGCAGCAGUGGGGAAUAUUGGACAAUGGGCGGAAGCCUGAUCCAGCAACGCCGCGUGAGGGAUGACGGCCUUCGGGUUGUAAAAUUCUUUCACCGGGGACGAUAAUGACGGUACCCGGAGAAGAAGCCCCGGCUAACUUCGUGCCAGCAGCCGCGGUAAUAC